GAGUUUGAUCUUGGCUCAGAGUGAACGCUGGCGGUAGGCCUAACACAUGCAAGUCGAACGGCAGCACAGUAAGAGCUUGCUCUUACGGGUGGCGAGUGGCGGACGGGUGAGGAAUACAUCGGAAUCUACUUUUCCGUGGGGAGUAACGUAGGGAAACGUUACGCUAAUACCGCAUACGACCUACGGUGAAAGACAGGGGAGUCUUCGGACCUUGCGCGAUUGAAUGAGCCGAUGUCGGA
rnacentral:rRNA from 1 species